ensembl:miRNA
AAUCCUUGACACCUAGGUGUGAGUGCUGUUUCAGUGCAACACACCUAUUCAAGGAUUCAAAGAGGCU